CGCGACCUCCUCUCUCUCUCUCCCUCGUGUGAUCCGCUCUCCCACACAGCUAGACGAACGCCUUCAUCUCGAGCGGGUGAGUGGGUGAUCGGAGAGGGCGGCGCUGGCGGUUUCGAUCCGUGAUCUUUCUCGACGCGGAUGGCGGCGUAUCGAUCCGGUUGAAGCGGCUGGCGGCUUCCGGCCCAGGAGGCUUGGGGUGUUCGUGGCGGCUGCUAGGAGGUAGCGAUGGGGUUCGGCGACCGGAUGAGGAAAGGGCGCCGAUCUCGCUCCUCCUGCUCCCAAUCGCUGGCGCGGCCACCCCCCCCCCCCCCCCCCCCCCUUUCUCUAUCAACUGGUGAUGAACAGAUUAAUGUGUCCAUGCAUCUUGUUAGUUAGUAAUAUUAAGAAAAUGAAGGUUGUUGCUGCCGUGAAAAGUUGAUGGAUGAGCUGCAGCGGAUGGUCGAUGAUAUGUGUUUGUAACAUAGCCUUUGCACUCUCCUGGCAUCAAUUCUGUAUGUAACCGUACUAUGUCUGGCAUAAUUGGAGGACGAGGCAAGUCGAUAAGUUGAGAAGGUCAACCGGUUGAAGCGAAUCUCAUUGUAUAACCUGAUAACUCUUUCACUUUGAUUAGUGGAAGCAAGUAAGCUGUUGUUCUACGUACACGGAAUGAAGGGUGAGGUGGACAAGCUCAAGCAGAUCAAUAGGUUUCUAUAUUAUUCCACAUAUAUGGGUUUGUGUGAUGUUAUUUUGGAUUACUAAGAUGUUUCAUCUAUAAUGGAAAUUAUUGGCUAUUAAAAAUUAGUCUUGAUUUACUAUGACAAUAGUUAUUGGUUACAGCCAUUAAAAAGACUGAUUAGUUCUAUCAGGUUAUUUAAACUGCAACAAGGAAUGAACAUUACAGUUCUCUUUGAUUUUUUUUUUAUGUUUCCUCUUUUGUCUGAUCUGAAAUAAUAUGUCAUGUCUAUAUAUUCUACCCUACAUCAUCAGUUCCUUAUACAUUGCUCAUAGGAGAAUAUUGUAAUGGCACUUCAUUAGUUGGUGGUAAUAGACACAACUCCAGUCUUGCCAUGUUAGUACAAUUAAUUUAUUUCAAUUCCAAACAUGUAUCAUUUGUAGAAGAUGUGCCACGAGUUAAUGGACAGCUGGCCUUUGCAAGAGCAUUGGGAGACAUGAGCUGCUACUCGUACACACGUAUUAGCUUUUGCACUGUCUAAAUUAGUUUAAUUUGAAACUUGGAUGAAACAACCAAACAAACUUGAUCUAUCUUGAUCAUGUUAAUUGAGCUAUGCAGGGCACAAUAAACAUUCUGUUUUCUUAUUUCUCUAUUCCUCUUUAUCGCUUUAGUUACACCAGUUUACUUUGUCAUGUAAUUUUUGUUCCAUCAUUAUUGCAAAAUAUAGUUCAAUCUGAUCACAUGGAGGAAAAUGUCUUGAACCAAUUGUUUGGUAUCCACUAAUGUGCAAUUCAGUUGUAAGAAAAUGUCUAAUCUGAAGGUAUGGAUGGAGAGUUUGUUUGGCAUAGAGUACACUGUGAUAUCUUUCUGUCGUGUUUCAUCUGUCGAGCAUGAAUGUAUGCGAAGUUCACUUUUAUGUUGCACCUACUGUUAGAUCUAGAGUAUCACUGGCUGAAUCUUUUGUUUGUGUUUAGUGUUGAAGCACAAAAUAGAAGGGGGUGAACGAGAAGGCAAUGGUUGACGGCAACCAUGGGAGGAGGUCGGGGCAUCGAACAGUAUUGAGUUGGCGAAUCCGGCGAGAUGUGGUUCAAGCAAAUGUUGAUGGUGCGGCAAUGAGAAGACCCUCUCUGUGAGCCAUAUCCCUCUCACUUGGCGUCUCGGUUUUUGUUUCUGGUGCUCCCUGUUUCUCUCCAUUUUGGUGUUCGGUUCGUUGAAAACACCAGCUGCUAAGGUUCUUUAGACCAUUGUGAGAAAGCAUCCAUACUUCCAUAGGAAAAAUCUUGCACUUACCAAAUAGCAGUCUCAAAGUAGAGAGUGCAAGGAAUAUUUGAUCAUUGGCCAGAUGUGGUGAUGUGCAUCUGCUGAAUGAACCGUCCGUCCGGUCACCUCUAUUUUAUUUUGUGCUGAUUAUUGGUGAGUUUCAAACUUCCAAUUUGAUAGAUCCUGCAGAAGAAGAGCAUGGAGAACAUCUCCCUCUUCCUAUAUAUCUCAAAUUGGACUUACAGGUGAUCGAUCCAUGGAGUUGUAGUGUUUGUCAAAUUGCUUGCAAGGGUGAUUAGGAUUUUAUAGGUCACUAUUUGAUUUCUGUCAUAAUAUUUAAACUACUACUGAUCUUCUAAUAUGUUAUUUGUUAUUUCUUUCAGCUAUCAGCUGGUCAGUUUUAAUGUGUUUUCGACAUUACGAGCCUAUCACUUUUGAUGUGUUGGUAUUAGAAUGAAACGGAGUUGCCAUUUAAGUUUGCAUCUACACUCUAAUAUUUAUGCUUUUGAAGUACAUGUCAUUGCACAACUAUUGAUAUAUGAUUCAUAUAGAACUUGAUGAAUUGCAGAGUUAUACUUUCACGAUUUUAUAAGAUACUGAAACCAGUUCGCCUUCUUUUUGAUGAGGAGGUUCUCUUAGAAAAUCGGCACCUGAAGGUCACUAUUUUAAUUCCUAUAAUCAAUGGCUACAAAAUGCUUCUAGCUCUACAAUGAGCGAUCGCGCCAUUUCUGGAAGCGGCAAGGGCGGUGGGUUGUGCCUUUGCCGGUGCAUCGCUUGACGCUCCACCUGGAUGGCGCUGGGCUGGGAGCUGCGGGAAAUACGUGUAUUGAGGACCACGGUGUGCGGGGCAUGUGUCUGAUGCUAGACGUGAUGGUCGGGCACCAGACUGUCAUCGGCAACUACAAACAACAGAACAUGCGAGUCGUCUACAACCUUGACAGAGCCAUGCUAUCCUUUGUGUCGGCGCACUAUAACUGUUCUGAACAAAGGAAGAACUUGUAGUAUUGAUCACGUGAAAUAUGCCAAUGUGGCAGUGGUACUGAAUUGAAGCAACGAUUUCUUUGAAUGAAAUGUGAACUGGAAUGUAGAGCUGACAAAAAGGGUUGCUGGAUGGGCUACUAUAUUGCUCUGUGUUAUUUACA